rnacentral:lncRNA from 1 species
UAUGAUUAACAAAAUUCCAAUAAAUCCACAAUUAAUUUAGUAAUUCAAAUAGACAAAUCCAACAUGUCCAAAUAAACAAAUUAAUUCAAUUACAAGAUCUUCAAAUGUUCAUAAAUAAAAGAUAACCUACUUCUAACUAUCUAGCAGUCUGACUCCAUAUCCAUCCACUUCUCGUCCCACCCAAUGGACUCUAUAAAUCCAGUGCC